rnacentral:rRNA from 1 species
AACGCGUGGGAAUAUGCCCUUCUGUUGAGGAUAGCCCUGGGAAACUGGGAGUNAUACUCGAUACGCCCUACGGGGGAAGGAAGGAUUAGCCCGCGUUAGAUUAGGUAGUUGGUGAGGUAAUGGCUCACCAAGCCUACNAUCUAUAGCUGGUUUUAGAGGAUGAUCAGCCACACUGGGACUGAGACACGGNCCAGACUCCUACGGGAGGCAGCNGUGGGGAAUCUUANACAAUGGGCGCAAGCCUGAUCUAGCCAUGCCGCGUGAGUGAUGAAGGCCUUAGGGUCGUAAAGCUCUUUCGCCAGGGAUGAUAAUGACAGUACCUGGUAAAGAAACCCCGGCUAACUCCGUGCCAGCAGCCGCGGUAAUACGGAGGGGGUUAGCGUUGUUCGGAAUUACUGGGCGUAAAGCGCGCGUAGGCGGACCANAAAGUAUGGGGUGAAAUCCCGGGGCUCAACCCCGGAACUGCCUCAUAAACUCCUGGUCUUGAGUUCGAGAGAGGUGAGUGGAAUUCCGAGUGUAGAGGUGAAAUUCGUANAUNUUCGGAGGAACACCNGUG